GUUGUAUGGUUAAGUGACUAAGCGUACACGGUGGAUGCCUUGGCAGUCAGAGGCGAUGAAAGACGUAGUAACUUGCGAUAAGCCCAGAUUAGGUAGUAACAACCAUUUGAGUCUGGGAUUUCUGAAUGGGGAAACCCACGUGCAUAAGCACGUAUCCUUACCUGAAUACAUAGGGUAAGGAGGCGAACCGGGGGAACUGAAACAUCUAAGUACCCCGAGGAAAAGAAAUCAACCGAGAUUCCGAAAGUAGCGGCGAGCGAAAUUGGACUAGCCCUUAAGCUUUACACGCGUUAGACGAACGGUCUGGAAAGUCCGACGAUACAGGGUGAUAGUCCCGUAGUUGACGACGUGUGUUCAGUGAAAUCGAGUAGGGCGGGACACGUGAUAUCCUGUCUGAAUAUGGGGGGACCAUCCUCCAAGGCUAAAUACUACUGACUGACCGAUAGUGAACCAGUACCGUGAGGGAAAGGCGAAAAGAACCCCUGUGAGGGGAGUGAAAUAGAACCUGAAACCGUGUACGUACAAGCAGUAGGAGCAGGCUUUGUCCUGUGACUGCGUACCUUUUGUAUAAUGGGUCAGCGACUUAUAUUCAGUGGCAAGGUUAACCAUCUAGGGGAGCCGUAGGGAAACCGAGUCUUAACUGGGCGUUCAGUCUCUGGAUAUAGACCCGAAACCAGGUGAUCUAGCCAUGGGCAGGUUGAAGGUUGAGUAACAUCAACUGGAGGACCGAACCGACUAAUGUUGAAAAAUUAGCGGAUGACUUGUGGCUAGGGGUGAAAGGCCAAUCAAACCUGGAGAUAGCUGGUUCUCCCCGAAAGCUAUUUAGGUAGCGCCUCGGACGAAUACUACUGGGGGUAGAGCACUGUUAAGGCUAGGGGGUCAUCCCGACUUACCAACCCUUUGCAAACUCCGAAUACCAGUAAGUACUAUCCGGGAGACACACGGCGGGUGCUAACGUCCGUCGUGGAGAGGGAAACAACCCAGACCGCCAGCUAAGGUCCCAAAUUACUACUAAGUGGGAAACGAUGUGGGAAGGCUCAGACAGCCAGGAUGUUGGCUUAGAAGCAGCCAUCAUUUAAAGAAAGCGUAAUAGCUCACUGGUCGAGUCGGCCUGCGCGGAAGAUGUAACGGGGCUAAGUAGUAAACCGAAGCUGCGGCAAU
rnacentral:rRNA from 1 species